CCUACGGGAGGCAGCAGUGAGGAAUAUUGGUCAAUGGACGAGAGUCUGAACCAGCCAAGUAGCGUGAAGGAUGACUGCCCUAUGGGUUGUAAACUUCUUUUAUAUGGGACUAAAAUGUUCCACGUGUGGGAUUUUGUAUGUACCCUAUGAAUAAGGAUCGGCUAACUCCGUGCCAGCAGCCGCGGUAAUACGGAGGAUCCGAGCGUUAUCCGGAUUUAUUGGGUUUAAAGGGAGCGUAGGUGGAUUGUUAAGUCAGUUGUGAAAGUUUGCGGAUCAACCGUAAAAUUGCAGUUGAAACUGGCAGUCUUGAGUACAGUAGAGGUGGGCGGAAUUCGUGGUGUAGCGGUGAAAUGCUUAGAUAUCACGAAGAACUCCGAUUGCGAAGGCAGUUCACUGGACUGCAACUGACACUGAGGCUCGAAAGUGUGGGUAUCAAACAGGAUUAGAUACCCUAGUAGUC
rnacentral:rRNA from 1 species